UUGGAGGGAUAUGUGUGAGUUUGCUUCUAACCUCAGGGGAAUGUUUUCAGCCAUUUUCAACCAUCUCUUGGUAGAGAAGAAUACCUUUGGAAACCCUGAGACACUGCCACAGAUGAGUGCUCCAAGAAAGGAAGAGCCUUCUGGAUUAUCUCCAAGGCACUAAGAGCCUUCUCAAAUGUGCCUUGCCUUUCACAGAAUUUCAGAAACGACUGAAGCAGAACCACAGGAUUAUUUGUAAUGGAGCCAAAUGACACACAAGAAACAAACUUCACCUCCUGGCCACAUCUAUCAAUUGUUCCCAGUCAGCGAACCAGAACUGGAGCAGAAGCAGUGUAAAAGGCUUUACCAGUCUAGGCAAAGAAGAAAUGUCCAUGCCAUGUACAGAAGUCGGAGGAUGUAGUCCUGGCAAAGGCAAUCUCCAGCUGACACACACGAAAAUUAGUCAUCUACCCGUAUGCCUAAUUAGAGAUAGAGGCCCAUGACUUUGGGUCUCCAGUGUUUCAGAGUAAAGUUGGAUGCACUAUGUUCU